rnacentral:rRNA from 1 species
UGGGGAAUUUUGGACAAUGGGGGAAACCCUGAUCCAGCCAUCCCGCGUGUGCGAUGAAGGCCUUCGGGUUGUAAAGCACUUUUGGCAGGAAAGAAACGUCAUGGGUUAAUACCCCGUGAAACUGACGGUACCUGCAGAAUAAGCACCGGCUAACUACGUGCCAGCAGCCGCGGUAAUACGAAGGGUGCAAGCGUUAAUCGGAAUUACUGGGCGUAAAGCGUGCGCAGGCGGUUCGGAAAGAAAGAUGUGAAAUCCCAGAGCUCAACUUUGGAACUGCAUUUUUAACUACCGGGCUAGAGUGUGUCAGAGGGAGGUGGAAUUCCGCGUGUAGCAGUGAAAUGCGUAGAUAUGCGGAGGAACACCGAUGGCGAAGGCAGCCUCCUGGGAUAACACUGACGCUCAUGCACGAAAGCGUGGGGAGCAAACAGG